ensembl:lincRNA
GGAAACAGAGGACUUCUCUGGAAGUCCUUUCCUGACCUGACUCUCCAGCCAGCGUCAAGAUCCCUUCUUCUCAGCCCCCACAGCUCUGUCUGUCCGGGCUGAUCUGGACUUAUUUACAGAACUGAGACAGUAGUAAUUAAUAAGGUUGUAGGGUAGCAUGGGAAGUAAUGAGCAUCCUGUUGGUCAAAGAGAACAAGAAUGAGGUAGUGAUCCUCAGACAAAGAGCCUUGUGGUGAGAGUGCACACAGGUGGGUGCACUCACUCCCCCCAGAGUCCAAGAGGCUUGAAGCCCUGAACCUUGAGCAGUAAAAGACUGUGGUGUAUGGCAAAGCAUAGUGCUGCGUGCUGUGCCAUGUCUUUCCUCUCUCUGAUCCCUGCUCCUCAUCCAUAAAACAGAGAUUACCGCACCUAACACACAAGGCACCAUUCUCUCCUUUGCAUUAUCCCCUUCUCAUUUUGAGCCAGACACAUGGAUGGAUACCUGGAAGAGAUUCCAUGUCCCAGUCUGCCUGACAGUGAAAUGCCGCCAAGUGACUGAGUUGUCGUCCAAGGGAUGUGGGCAGAAAUGACAGGUCUAAUUCUGUGCUUUUUCUCCUCACACAGUCCUGGGAUUCUGAGGGCUGGAGUGCUGAGCCACACUGGACUGCAGAUGAUGCCUAACAACAGUGGAAAAGAAGGGAAAGGGCCCCAGUCCUUCACAGCUCCCCGGAGCAGAGUGCCUGCCCCAGUGACCCUCGGAUCCCCCUUUACACGAGCCUGGGGAGACACCAUACUCACCAUGAUGACUUUCCUCAGAAACUGCCAGACAGCCCCUGGCGAGGUGGGUGCUUCUCUCCAGGGAAACUGCUAUACUGCCCUGCUCUGGGGGCUGCUGCCUCUUUGGAAGCCACCCUGGAUGGAAGUUAAGAAGUUUUCUUCAGGAUGUCUUUGAAGAAGGAACCCAUGGUACCUAGAAGCGGGCAAGACUCAUGGAGACAAAGCUGAGACAUCAACAGAAAUUAACCACUUUACAGAGGUCACUGGCAGUGUCCACCCCCUGUGUUGGAGUUAACUCCAUGCAGGACAGGGGUUAGGUCUUCCUGGUCUGUGUAUAUACAGUAUUAAGAACAGGGCUGCAUGUAACAGGUGUUUCUGCAGAAAUGAGUGACACUGUGGGAGAUCCGGAGAACCUGUUGAACCAUACUUGAUCCAUCUCUCAUAUUUUACAGAUAGCUUGGCAAGGGAAUGAGGCUUUCCCUCCAAGAUCACACAGAAUCAGUGAUGCAUCCAGACCUGUAACCCACCCUCUCAGACUCCAUGUACUCCUUCCAUAGUAUCUGCUUGACCAUUUUAUUAAAGGAAUUCAGAAACACCUUUGGGGUUUUCUUUCUCAGCACACUGCACCACACUUGGCCCAAAUACACACUGACUAAGUGUUUGCUGAACUGUACCACAAAACCUCAUCUGUGCUUGGAGCUUGAUGAAACCCAUCUUGGCAGGCCUGCACUCUUGGUGGUCUCUCUCCCAUCUUCAGACUCGUCAGGAAGGACAAGUCAGGGUGGAGUGAUUGCUGGGUCAGGAUGACCUGUGAAUUUCCAGCUGUGGAGGCAUUUCCAGGCCAGGGGUGGUGAUCGCCAAAGACACAAAUAAGCAUGUCCUUUGUGCCCCAAGGGUCAGCAAUCUGGAGAGACAAGUCCCCCCAUGGGCUUGUGGGAUGAGCAGAGGCUUCCUGACCCUUCCUGGAUUCUUCCCAACACUCCCUAGACCUCCAAAGGAUCUUCUGACAAUAAUACCCAAAUUACUUCUGACAAGAGAGAAAACACCAAGUCCCCAUCUCCCUCCAGUCAUCUCUCUCUUCCCACUUACCUAUGUGGUGGCGUUUCCACUCUUUUUAAACAUUAAUUGGGAUUUUUGUUAUACGUUACAAAGAUCCUUCUGAGAACCUGAUAAUGUAGGGUAAGUGAAGCCAGCUAUCUAUGAAUCCCUUCGCUCCAUGAUCUUGUAUCUGAAAAGCACCUACUGCGU